rnacentral:misc_RNA from 1 species
UACGUAGGUGGCAAGCGUUGUCCGGAAUUAUUGGGCGUAAAGCGCGUGCAGGCGGCCCCUUAAGUCUGAUGUGAAAGCCUGCGGCUCAACCGGGGAGGGGCAUUGGAUACUGGGAGGCUUGAGUAUAGGAGAGAAGAGUGGAAUUCCACGUGUAGCGGUGAAAUGCGUAGAGAUGGGGAGGAACACCAGUGGCGAAGGCGGCUCUUUGGCCUAUAACUGACGCUGAGGCGCGAAAGCGUGGGGAGCAAACAGG